rnacentral:rRNA from 3 species
CCAGUAACGGCGAGUGAAAAGGGAAAAGUCCAUCGCUAAAUCGUUUUGCCUCAGGCAUUAUGAGGUGUAGCGUAUAAGUCGUAAACUUUGAUCUUUUGUCUCAAACAAGUCCCCUUGACAGAGGUUCCACAGAAGGUGCAAGUCCUGUACGUUGAGAUAAUUGAUCGAUAUUUGCGUGCUUUAGAGUCGGGUUGUUUGGGAUCGCAGCCCAAAGUCGGUGGUAAACUUCAUCUAAGACUUAAUAUUGCCACGAGACCGAUAGCAAACAAGUACUGUGAAGGAAAGUUGCAAAGCACUUUGAAGAGAGAGUUAAAGAGGACGUGAAACCGGUAAGGUGGAAACGGAUAGAGUCGGCGUAUCAUUCAAUUAUUCAGUUACAUUAUUUUUAUGUUGUGACCUCUGAGCUCCAGAUUGGGACAGAGGGAAUCAGCAUAAUUUUUUGUGGUGCAUUUACUUGAUUGGUGCUUGGGGAUGUUUGAGGCAGAUUUGUUUCCGUCGUUUUGAGGCCAGCUUGCUGGUACCCAAACGGUGUUAGCAUUUUUUGUCUUGGGCAUUUGAGUAUGGCUCACGUGUAUUUAUUGGACAGAUCUGAGUGUAAGUUACGGUCGCAUGCGACACGUGCUUUUCAAUUAGUUCGGUCCAGUUAAUGCUCUCGUACUCGUUCCCCAUGUAAAAGCCGGUCAUCUAUCCGACCCGUCUUGAAACACGGACCAAGGAGUUUAUCGUGUGCGCAAGUUUUUGGGUGUUAAAAACUUAAAAGCGAAAUGAAAGUAAAUGACUCUUUAGAGUCUGAUGUGCGAUCUUGUAAAAAAGUGCAGCAUGGCCCCAUUCUAACUGUUUACAGUAGGGUGGCGGAAGAGCGUACGCGGUGAGACCCGAAAGAUGGUGAACUAUUCCUGAGCAGGACGAAGCCAGAGGAAACUCUGGUGGAAGUCCGAAGCGGUUCUGACGUGCAAAUCGAUCGUCUG